AAAUUUUAUAUGAAUUCCUUAUUUAAAUAGGAAGGGUGCACUAUGAAUUUCGAAAGAGAAUUGGGUUAAUAUCCCGAACCGGGACAUGUUGGUGGACGACAAUGUUAGGAAAUAUGGAGAUGUCAUCGAGGGUUGGGAAGAAUUAUCUUUUCUUUUUAACAACUUUCCCACCCUGAAAUCGGUUCAACCAGAGAUAGGGUCCAACAUAUGGAAGAGAACCACACUUAUUGUGGUGUUUGGUGCCCUCUCGGUGGCCAUUGAAAAUAUGGAGAAUCGAGUACCAUCCAUGCCAGAUCGUACUCAUAUAUGCCUCCUU
rnacentral:ncRNA from 1 species